rnacentral:lncRNA from 10 species
AGCAGGUCGGGAAGUUGAGAGAAAGUUUGGAGAAGGGGGAGGGGCGGCGGGUGAGGAACCCCGGGACCGCCCAGAUGUGCGCCGUGGCGGUGCGCGCUGUCCAGGACCGAGCAUGUCGGGGCUGGGGCCCAGGGACCCCCGGGACAGGCCCGAACCCGGCUGGCACCAGGGAGCAGAGAAAACACACACCCAGCAGCAACACGGAGGGCCGCCCAGGCGUGCACGUAAAUGUUCACCGCGCACACAAAGCCCGCUCUGACCUUGCUGCGGACUCUAGAUGCCGCUCUUGGAUGCGCCCACCACCCUCUAGUGGGCGCAGGGACUGCGUUUUGGGGGAAAAGGAAGGAAAAGGGAGUAGAAGCUUUGGAGAAUUGACGGCCGCCCAGGGGGCCUCAAGGAGCAAUCCCAGUUUGGAUAGCCUUGCAGCGAACGUUCACACAGUCACCCCAUAAACAUUCAGUGUUGGGGACCUACUGUGCGCGCAACCAAGCCCUGAAAAAUGUCCAGAGGAGGCGCGCACUAAGCUGCGCUAGGGAGUAGAGAAAAAUCGAGGAAACAACGGUAAAGAAAAGGUGGGUGUGGCGGGCGCGGUGGCUCACGCCUGUAGUCCCAGCAUUUUGGGAGGCAGAGGCAGGCGGAUCAUUUGAGGUCAGGAGUUCAAGACCAGCCUGGCCAACAUGAUGAAACCCCGUCUCUACUAAAAAUACAAAAAUUAGCUGGGCAUGGUGGCGCGCGCCUGUAAUCCUAGCUACUCGGG